rnacentral:rRNA from 1 species
CCUACGGGAGGCAGCAGUGAGGAAUAUUGGUCAAUGGGCGCGAGCCUGAACCAGCCAAGUCGCGUGAGGGAAGACGGCCCUACGGGUUGUAAACUUCUUUUGUCGGGGAGCAAAGCGAGGCACGUGUGACUCAUUGAGAGUACCCUAAGAAAAAGCAUCGGCUAACUCCGUGCCAGCAGCCGCGGUAAUACGGAGGAUCCGAUCGUUAUCCGGAUUUAUUGGGUUUAAGGGGAGCGCAGGGGGUGGUGAAAGUCAGUGGGAAAAUUGGGGGGCCAAACCCCGUACUGCCGUUGAAACUGGAUGGCUUGAGUGCAGUAGAGGUAUGCGGAAUGCGUGGUGUAGCGGUGAAAUGCAUAGAUAUCACGCAGAACUCCGAUUGCGAAGGCAGCAUACUGGAGUGCAACUGACGUUGAUGCUCGAAAGCGUGGGUAUCGAACAGGAUUAGAUACCCGUGUAGUC